ensembl:lncRNA
AUGAAAUUAACAAAGACGAAACUGAACUUGCUCUUCACAUUGAUUCUGGCAUUUUACCUCACAUCAGUAGAAGCUGAAGCUUCUCAUGAUGAUGAUGAUGACGAGGUGAGGAUCCUGAUGGUGGGAAUCCGAGGUCAGUCCAGAUUCAGUGCUGCAGAUCUUCUGUCAGGAAGGAAAGACGGUGGACAGGAGGACAGAGAGAUUGUAAAGACUCCAGUAAUUACAGACGAGGCUCGUAGAAUGAUGCUGAUCACUGGACCGAACCUCUGUGAGGAGGACACAGAGAGACAGACCUUCACAACAGCGCUGUUUCUCUCGUCUCCUGGACCUCACGCCGUUCUAAUGCUCCUGAAUCUGGAAGAUCAACAAUCACAACAGUGUGAUAUUGUGAAACGAGCUCAGGAGCUGCUGGGAGCAGAAGUCCUGCAGUACUGCAUUGUUCUUCUGCUGCAAAAUCACCAGGAACCUUUCACAGGAGCCUCCAGAGAAAUGAUCGAUGCAUGUGGAGGAAGAUUUCUCAUCAUAAGAGACUCUGAACCUAAACCUGCUCAAAGAGCAGCUCUCGUAGCAGAAAUACACAAGUUAGUUUGGCUCAACGAUCACAGAUUUUACUCAGUAGUGACUCAAGGGUUGGAUGCAGAAGAGUCCAGUCAAAGUGUGCAUGAAGAAAAUAAGAUGCUCUCUGAAAAACAUGACAAUUCAGCAGGAACUGCACGAUGGAUUUUACUAAUUUUACUGAACACUGCUUUUAUUUUCACUAAAGUAAGACAUGAACAUUUUCAUUUUGCGGAAAUACUCUUCGUGCUUGUUAUUUUUACCGUCACUUUAAGAGAGACUCUCAAUCCAGAUGUUUCUGUUCCUUUAAAUUUGAUUGUAUCCUCAACUUUCACAGUAGCCUCUGCAUAUAAAGACUUCGCAAAUUCACGACAUGGACACCAAAUCAUAAUGUUUUUAGUCAUGAUCUUUACAUUUCCCAGUAUAGUGUUCAUAGCCGGUCUAGGACUGACUGUAGGAACAGCGGUCAGUGUACGGACGUGGUCAGAUGUGAUCAUAGCGUGCCACGCUGCUCCCGGAGUCACAUUCGGGGCUCAUUUAUACACGGUUUACUCCAUUAUACCUGAUCAAAUGCAAGCUCGUACAACUCUCAUUUUUGCACUCAAGUUAUUCCUGUUCUGUUUCGUUGGAGUGACGAUCUCGAUGGGGUUUGUGACUGUAUUUGCUCUGUUUGGAGUGAAGAUGACAAUAUUUCUGCUAAUAUUAGGAUUUACAAAAAUGUAUUUCCAUUUAAGGAGUCUUUCUCUGAAACUGUUUAUUUUUUUCCUGCUUUUUCCAUGCUGUUGUGUAUUUAUUGGUUCUUUAAUUUCAUUUUUAUACAGUUUAUUAUUUCAUUAUAUUUUAACAGUAAUUUGAAACCGAUAAUAGUGACUAAAUCACAAGAGACACUUACAGAUUUUGGAUCAUAAGUUAAUGCUGAUAUUGAUAUUGAUGUUUCUUCAACUAUGGGUAUUUUUGGCACUGUGUACUUUCAGGAAAUAAUCUCUCUUACAACCCAUCUUAUUUCUUUACUAACGAGCAUUUAACAUCAAUAAAGACAUCACAGGAAAAUCUUGAACAUUUACUGUGCAAUGUCAUUUCCACCAAAUUUCAAAUGAUAUAUUGUGUUUAUCAGCAUUUUAUUACUGGAAUAAAAUGGCUAUUUUCAUAGUUUGAAUUUUAUGUAUGUAAAUACAUUCAAAAAAUAUAUUUUGAUACUUUAUACAUUAUUUUGCAUAUAUAAAACAAAAAUUUGUGAAUUCUCCUGUUAAGCAUUUAUAUGCAUUUUUGAAAAACACUUUUAUAUAUAUAUAUAUAAAAAAAAAAACUUUUAUUAAUAUUCACUGUUUAAAUCACAUUUACUUGCCAAAUGUCUCAAACCAACUAAUGACUCUUAAUCUUUAACCAACUGAGUUGAAAUUCUUGAGGAUUUUUUCUUUGGAACAGCUGCUAUAUCAUCUACUAAAACAUCAUUCAGACAAACGAACAAAGACACUCGCUGUAACAGUCUGCAGUCGCUCUGGAUAAAGACGUCUGUUAAAUGUCCAUUUACUUCCUCUGCAGCUCUGCAGACAAACCAAUAGAGUUUUACAGGAAAUAAUUCAAUUCAAGCUGAUGUUGUGACUUUAACCAGCAGUGAAGAUCAGAUGUUCUCAUCUGGAGAUUAAACUGCAAAUAACAAUCAAACUGACAUAUGAAACUUACAAAUAUAUUGCUU